UCUUAAUGUUUAAAUUGAAAUUAAUUUUCAGGUCAAAAAGCAACAUUAGAUGCAGAAGAAAUGGCUGACUUUUACAAGGAAUUUUUAAGUAAAAAUUUUCUGAAGCACAUGUAUUAUAACAGAGACUGGUACAAGCGUAAUUUUGCCAUCACCUUCUUCAUGGGAAAAGUGGCCCUGGAGAGAGUUUGGAGCAAGCUUAGACCAAAACCAAAGACCAGCACCUAGGAGCCCACCCUGACCCGCUCACCGCCGCUGUCGGAGUUUCCUGGGAGUUUUCUGGGAGAAGCGGCUGCUCUGGGAAUCCAUUUUAUAAGGGUUCUAAAAACCUGUAAGUGAACUGAGUCCCACGCCUACUUUAUGGGGGCCCCUUGGCUUAUGUCAGCACAGGGUGGACUGGGAGAGUGGGGGCCCUGGUGAGCUGUGGGCCACGUGACUCUGUCCUGACUGGGGAUUCCAAGCUGGCCCAUCAUGGACAUGAUGUUAAAUAAAAUCCAAGCACUGUG